GAUGAAGAACGUAGCGAAAUGCGAUACUUGGUGUGAAUUGCAGAAUCCCGUGAACCAUCGAGUCUUUGAACGCAAGUUGCGCCCGAAGCCAUUAGGCCGAGGGCACGCCUGCCUGGGCGUCACACGUCGUUGCCCCCCCAUCUACUCCUUCGGGAUUGCGGGGGGCGGAUGAUGGCCUCUCGUGCGCCACGUCGCGCGGUUGGCCUAAAUGCCAAGUCCUCGGCGACGCACGCCACGACAAUCGGUGGUUGCGAAACCUCGGUUGCCUGUCGUGUGCGGUCGUCGCGCAUCGAGGGCUCGAAAAAAUUGCCGGGCUUCGGCUCGACUUUCAACGCGACCCCAGGUCAGGCGGGGUUACCCGCUGAAUUUAAGCAUAUCAAUAAGCGGAGGA
rnacentral:misc_RNA from 1 species